rnacentral:rRNA from 1 species
GAUGAACGCUGGCGGCGUGCCUAACACACGCAAGUCGAGCGAUCUUCUUCGGAAGAGAGCGGCAGACGGGUGAGUAACGCGUGGGUAACCUGCCCUGUACACACGGAUAACAUACCGAAAGGUAUGCUAAUACGAGAUAAUAUGCUUUUAUCGCAUGGUAGAAGUAUCAAAGCUCCGGCGGUACAGGAUGGACCCGCGUCUGAUUAGCUAGUUGGUAAGGUAACGGCUUACCAAGGCGACGAUCAGUAGCCGACCUGAGAGGGUGAUCGGCCACAUUGGAACUGAGACACGGUCCAAACUCCUACGGGAGGCAGGCAGUGGGGAAUAUUGCACAAUGGGCGAAAGCCUGAUGCAGCAACGCCGCGUGAGCGAUGAAGGCCUUCGGGUCGUAAAGCUCUGUCCUCAAGGAAGAUAAUGACGGUACUUGAGGAGGAAGCCCCGGCUAACUACGUG